GACGAACGCUGGCGGCGUGCUUAACGCAUGCAAGUCGAACGAGAAUCUACUGAAAGAGUUUUCGGACAAUGGAAGUAGAGGAAAGUGGUGGACGGGUGAGUAACGCGUGAGGAACCUGCCUUGAAGAGGGGGACAACAGUUGGAAACGACUGCUAAUACCGCAUGACGCAUAGAGGUCGCAUGAUCUUUAUGCCAAAGAUUUAUCGCUUCAAGAUGGCCUCGCGUCUGAUUAGCUGGUUGGCGGGGUAACGGCCCACCAAGGCGACGAUCAGUAGCCGGACUGAGAGGUUGAACGGCCACAUUGGGACUGAGAUACGGCCCAGACUCCUACGGGAGGCAGCAGUGGGGAAUAUUGGGCAAUGGGCGCAAGCCUGACCCAGCAACGCCGCGUGAAGGAAGAAGGCUUUCGGGUUGUAAACUUCUUUUAAGAGGGAAGAGCAGAAGACGGUACCUCUAGAAUAAGCCACGGCUAACUACGUGCCAGCCGCCGCCGUAA
rnacentral:rRNA from 1 species